rnacentral:rRNA from 1 species
CAGUGAGGAAGGUGGGUAUGUUAAUAGCAUACUCAUUUUGACGUUUAGCUGCAGAAGAAGCACCGGCUAACUCCGUGCCAGCAGCCGCGGUAAUACGGAGGGUGCGAGCGUUAAUCGGAAUUACUGGGCGUAAAGCGCAUGCAGGUGGUUUGUUAAGUCAGAUGUGAAAGCCCGGGGCUCAACCUCGGAAUUGCAUUUGAAAACUGGCAAACUAGAGUACUGUAGAGGGGGUAGAAUUUCAGGUGUAGCGGUGAAAAUGCGUAGAGAUCUGAAGGAAUACCGGUGGCGAAGGCGGCCCCCUGGACAGAUACUGACACUCAGAUGCGAAAGCGUGGGGAGCAAAACAGGAUUAGAUACCCUGGUAG